AGUGACCCUGCAAAGAAGAUGUAGAGGUGUAAGUGAAGCAGCUCUUGUCCAGCUCCCCUGCAUCCAGUGUGGAACAGCUUUCAGCGUAGUUCUGGGCUACCUUCAGGUGAACCCAGUUGGACAACAGAACAUCGGGCAACCUUUCA